rnacentral:rRNA from 1 species
CCUACGGGUCGCAGCAGUGAGGAAUAUUGGUCAAUGGCCGGAAGGCUGAACCAGCCAAGCCGCGUGAAGGACGAAGGUGCCAAGCAUUGUAAACUUCUUUUGUCAAGGGACAAAAUCAGGCUCGAGAGCAUGACCGAGGGUACUGGAAGAAAAAGCAUCGGACAACUCCGAGCCAGCAGCCGCGGUAAAACUGAGGAUGCGAGCGUUAUCCGGAUUUAUUGGGUGUAAGGGGUGCGUAGGCGGACAGUUAAGUCAGCGGGAAAAGCCCGGGGAUCAACCCCGGCGAGCCGUUGAAACUGGCUGUCUUGAGAUGUCGAGAGGUAUGCGGAAUGCGCAGUGUAGCGGUGAAAUGCUUAGAUAUUGCGCAGAACUCCGAUUGCGAAGGCAGCAUACCGGCGGCGAUCUGACGCUGAGGCACGAAAGCGUGGGUAUCGAACAGGAUUAGAUACCCGUGUAGUC